rnacentral:rRNA from 1 species
CCCUUAGAUGUUCUGGGCCGCACGCGUGCUACACUGAGUGGAUCAGCGGGUCAGGUUGCGCGAAAGUGUUUCCUAAUCUUUAAAUCCGCUCGUGAUGGGGAUUGACGGUUGCAAUUUUCCGUCAUGAACGAGGAAUACCUUGUAAGCGCGGGUCAUCAUCCCGCGCUGAAUACGUCCCUGCCCUUUGUACACACCGCCCGUCGCUCCUACCGAUUGAGUGGUCCGGUGAGGCUUUGGGAUCUGAGCGGAAAGAGCGUUUCGCUGUUUCUGCCCGGAAAACUCAGUCGAACCUUAUCAUUUAGAGGAAGGAGAAGUCGUAUCA